GGAAAGUCUACGUGGAGUCAAAUUUCAGAGUUGGAGCACUGAAUUGCAGUGAGUCACACAGAGAGCCUGAGAGCUGCCUUUGUUCCACUUGUGUCUGAACGUUGGAGGAGAAACAGCAGGCUCCAGUUUUCAUUAACUCAUUUGCAGAAGUGUAAAAUUCAUGUUCACUGAACAUUUUCCCCACUCUGAGGUCUUUCAACUGACUUUCAAACAAUGCUGUCAUGAAAAGCUUUGUUAAGGCACAUACGAGAUGAAGAGGUGAUUCAAGACAGCCAGCAUGUUUUCACCAAGGGCAGAUGGCAUCUGACCAAACUUGUGGCCUUCUAUGAUGGAGUCAUUGCAUCAGUGGACAGUGGACAGUGGCAUCUCGUAUGUGACUUAAAGUAGCUUCUAGGAGGAUCUGCUCCAUGAUCUUCUCAGGCACAGAGUCACCAGGGACUUCACCCAACAGCCACAAUUUUUCAAAUAUGAUGGAGAGCGGCUUGGCAACCACAUCAGCCAUCUCUUUCAGAACCCCAGGAUGUAUCUCAUCUGGCCCCAUGGACUUAUACACGUUCAAUUUCAUGAGGAGGACUUGGACUUGUUCCACUGUUACAGUGGGACAGAAACCACUUCCCACACCCUCACCUACAGGUGGGUCCUGGCAGACAUGGGAAGCCUGAUCACCCAUGAAGACUGAGGCAAAGCACUCAUUGAGUACCUCAGCCUUUUUUAUAUCUGAGGAAGUCAGCUCCCCAUUACCUUUCAUCAGAGGGGGAACACUCUGCUUGGCCUGUCUCCUCCUGCCUAUGUACCCGUAGAACCCCUUCUUGUUAUCUUU
ensembl:lncRNA